GUCGUCCCUGGGCUGGGAGACAGCGCGGCUUUGUUUUUCUAAGAGAUGACUGAGAAGACAAAGUGGAUCAGACCCCCAGGGUCGCUGCUUUACAAGGCAGAAUAUAUGCUUCAUGUUCACAGUGGAAUGGUGGAACGUUAAGAACUUCAGAUGCCCGAGGCAAACCUCAGGAAGGCGAUGGCUCAGCUGAGAAAGGAGCCUCUUGGCACACAAGCUAUAUCUCCCAGAAAUGUCAGAGGCUCCGGUCCAACCUCCACCUCCACUCUCACGAAGGUCAAAGUGCUCCAACGUCAUCAGGCCCGGAGCACUGUAAUCACCCAGUGAGUGACUUCUAGAUCACCUACAUGGUCUAGCCCAGCCUAGCUGGAGGUGUGCUCCCAACAAGUAGCCAUGGUCUGGAAUGGUUGGCAGCACCCUACAAGCCAAGACCUGCAUGCCACCUUGACCUUCCAAAAGCAAUUGGCAGAGAACAGGACUCACGAGCAAAGCCAAAACGUGAGUAUCCAGGUAAGAGUUCUAGACCUGUCACACUACAUGGUAAGUCUGGCUGUAAGCUCUUAAAACAUUGAAGACCUACACAGACCUCUGAAUGGAUCACCUAGAAUCUUAACCUCACCGUUUAACACACAAAGCAGAGGAGAGGUGGCAAUCCCAAAAGCUCUUCUCAUCCUCUAUUUGUCCAGAAAAAGCAACGUUCAGUCCACUCUCUGACUGCAGCCGAGUCCCCUUGCACUGCCUGCGAAAUCCUCUGCCCAGACAGACAUCCUCCAUUUCGUAACUUCGCGUGACAAUGACAACAGACACCAGGGACUAAAGUGAAGACCACCACAGAGGCUGCAGAACUGGUCUCGGCUGCCACCAGCUUUCCAGGGCUGAGCAAAUCAUUCUUGUGUGCCUCAGUUUACCUGUAAAGUGCACACUCACGGACCCCUCCAAAAACCCCUUGUCGGACCAACCUAGCACUGAGCCAGAGUCAGGAAUGGUGGUGAGCAAGUUCUAGAAAACAGAGUGCCUCUGGGGCUGUCACAGGUGAGGCCCUUUCCUGGCUUCAAGAACCACUUUGGAUAAAAAGGGGCCUGGCCAGGUCUAAAUCUGGGC
rnacentral:lncRNA from 1 species